CAUUCAACAUUUUAUUUAUUUGUUGUGGUUGGUUCUGAGAUACUUUGCAGUUACAUUUUGAUCGUCACUCAAUAAGACUGGCUGGUGUGCUUAGCUUGUUUGGUUGUGAGGAUCAUAAUGGUAGAAUAUAUAUUGCUGAGUUGCUACUGAAUAUAAGGACCUUUACAAGAAUACCCUUCAUACCAUCAUAGUGCUUGCGUGUUGCCUGGAGCCAGCCGAGAUAUCAGAUGUGGCAUGUGGACAAGUUUGGAAUUCAACAAUUAAGUAGUAGCAUAUCUGUGCAAAGGUUAGUAAACCCCCUGCUGAAAUUCACGAUCGCUUUAGCUAUGAUAGGUUGUAUUCAAAGUGGAAUUGUCAAACUCUUAUUACCUCAUGAGACCAAAGUUAGAGAACUUGUUGCUUUCUUCAUAUGUCGGCAGUCUAGCUUUUGAGCACGCUCAUAAUCUCUGAAUUCAUUGCCAUUCUGAAUUAAAUAACACGGGAGAGUUUUCAGCUGAUACAUUUAGUCGUAAAGGUAGAGAACACUUGUUACUAGGUGAUUGAUGAACAUGUAUUGAGCAAAAAGACUUGAGCUUGCUAAUUUUUAUUCAUAGAACCAGCUGAGUUGAUUAUGGUGAAGGUGAUUUUAUUCUCUUAUCGAUUUGGAGUAUUUUUCUAUCCCACCAAUGCCAAAAAUAGAGCAGAUUCCAUGAGCCUUGAUUAUUGCAAUUUGAAUAUUUUUAGUGCGUAUUGUUAAGUUCGACGUUCCUCUAGUCUGAAGUCUUUCAAAGACAGUCAUUCUCUUCGCGUAACUUUACACUUCCUAACCUCUUCACUCGGCAUUGCGUUCCUUCAUAAGGAUAUCAUGAACAUUACCAGUGUACAUAUACAAAUCCCAGAAAUUAAACCAUACCUACCUAUAUAAUGCAUCACUGCGCACUGGGUAUUCCAUAGUAGUUGAUUAUUCCAUGAGCACAGUCAUCAAAGUUCGAGAAGAUUGUAAAGCGCUUUAUUGCCAUCAACCCUGCAAAAUUCAUUAUUAUGAAGAGCUAUAUUCAUCAGCAUUGAUUCCUCUCUUAGAUACAAAUGGAAAAAAAGAAAUAAAGAAAAAGAGAGAUGAGCACCAUGCAAAAGAUCAAAGGGUUCUUGUGCAGAUUGAUGAAACUACUACCUAUGUGCAGAUUAAUCAAAAUACUACCUAUGCAUAUCGAUAACAGGAACAUCACUCACAUCCUGGGAUCACCUUACAUUGCAUAGGCCUCUCAAAUCAUUUCUUUGGUGUGACUCCAUUCCCUCCCACAUACCCUAUACUACUUUUUCCAAUGACUGGAAUGUGAAGACUUCUUUGUACUGGAGUUGAACUCUUAUUUAGCUUUACAAUCUAGAUUUCAGAUUUGCUAAUUUUUUUGAAUUACUUUACCAAGCUCCAGAUAAGCUUUCCAAAAAUAUCAAAUAGAUAGGGAAUACUUGGGCUCCAGUGAGUACUAUAAUUAAGUGACAGAGAGUAAUUCUGGAUCAUUACGAGGUAAUUUCGCUAGAUACCUGCUCUCGGAAGGUUAACAAGGAAUAAAAUUGUUGGUUACUCCUGUUUCCUUUUGUUCUUGACAUUGAAGUCAAACAACCAAGUGACUGGUGUUCAAAAACUUCUACAGCUAUAUUGUUGAUGUUGUUCACUCUCAAAAAAUGAAAUCUGUUCCCUACUGGCAAUGAUUCAGAGUAGUUAUUUAAGUGUGUGCUCAAUCGCUAGCUUGCUACUUUAAGUAUGUUAAGCUUUCAGGUGUUUCGCAAGCAUGUGGGCAAGUUGAAUCAGG